rnacentral:tRNA from 1 species
UUUUCCCUUUCGCUUGAUUUGAAGCCAAGAAUCAAAAAGGUGGAAACCGAUUAUUUUGAAUGUAAUGUAUAUACCAA